AAGGUGCAGAAUAUGAAGCUCAUAGCUCUACUGGGCCAGAAUUCAGGGCCCAAGAAGAAAAUAAAUAAAAAAAAUUCAAAACCGAGAAUGCAACGCGGGUCUCCUCCGCGGAUUGAAGCGGGGAGACGCGCGGUAGGCCCUUCCGGUCCGAGCUGCCGUCACCGAUAGGCCGGGCGACGGGCCGAGCUUCCACCCGAGCCCGGGGAUUCUCGGCCUAGACUAGCCGGCUCCCUCUUGCCGGCUUUGGCCUUAGCGGCGCCUCGGACCAUGCACCGUGAUUUGCAACAGAAGCUCGGGACGCCACGGCGUGUCCUGGAGGAGCUGCGCGGAGCGCCGAACCUAAGCAGGCCGACUGAGGACGCGGCAACGGCAGAGGAGGCCGUGGCCGCCCCUCCCCCACCGGGCCGCUCCAACUGCCGCGGCGACGCGAGCAGCCGUCUCCGCGCCAGGCCCAACCGCCCGGCCAACCAAGGCCAAGCGAGGCGGCCUGAAGUGGCUGCGCCCCGCCUGCCCCCCACCACGGCCGCGCGAAGACGCCCAGGGCCCGUUACUCCGCGCGCCGCCACCGGUCAGGACGCGCCGCCCUCGGCUGAAGCGACCAACGGCAGUGGGGAGGCCGCGGACCUGAGACUUACUCAGGGGUCGGGUGCUCGGGAUCGUAGAAAUCCCCCAUCUUCGGUGGCGACUGCGACCGCAGCUGCUUCGUGUGGAGCAGCUGGAGGCGGCGACGCUAGCCCCCUCCCCGCGGCAGGCCGAGGCGGGGGAGGGGACCGGAGGGGAGGAGGCCGCUGGUCCGAUCGCGGCGGCGGCAGGGGCGGCCCGCGUCGCUGGCUGGCUAGCUCGCCCGCUCGUUCCCUCCCUCCCUCCCUCCCUCCGGCAACCGCCCGCCGCUCUCACCCUCACACACUCACUCCCGGAGCAACGCGCACCCCGCCCGCCCUGCAGCCUUGCAGGCCCAGCCCCUUAAAGAGACACGCACAGGCAGCCCACCGGCCGCCAGUCGGCGCGCCAGCCCCAGCACGCCGACCCUGGCAGGGGCGGGGUGCAACCCGCGGCCGGGCCCGGCCUAGCCUGCGGCUUUCCGGAACAAUAAGUCCCAGGGCCGAGUGCUGUAGGCGGGUCCCGGAGCUGGAGGAGCGCCACCGUUGCCCCUCCCUGGACGACCUCUGGGGAACAGCCCAAGGCCCUCAGGACACCCGCCUUCAUCCUUCGAAGCCCUCGGAGAGCCUGGCCUCCAGCUUGUGAGGUGCCAGUCACCACAACCUGCUGAAGAUGAAAGUUUUAUUGUGAAGUCUCUCACUGCUGUGAGGAUGAGAUGAGGUGCUGACCAGAAGAGGACAACAGAUGCCCUGGGACUGAGACAGGUUGCCAUGAGCUGCGCACUGGUGCUACAGGAACUGGACCUGGGUCUUCAGCAAGAACAUCAAGUACUCUUAACUGCUGAGCUAUUUCUUCAGUCCCCAUUUUUUGUUUAUGAGAAAAGGUUUAACUGUGUAGUCCAGACUAGCCUUGAACUCACCUGCCCCAGCCUCCCAAAUGCUAUUCCGGAAUACAGGCAUGUGCUACCAUCACCAACAAAAAAUACUUUUAGAGUGGAAAUCUCUAAGGAUUGUGCUACUUUUUUAAAAAAUUUUAUUUAUUUAUUAUAUGUGAGUACACUGUAGCUGUCUUCAAACACCUGAAGAGAGCAUCAGAUCUCAUUACAGAUUGUUGUGAGCCACCAUGUGGGUGCUGGGAUUUGAACUCAGGACCUUCAGAAGAGCAGUCAGUACUCUUAACUGCUAAGCCAUCUCUUCAGCCGGCUACUUUUUCAAAUACAUUAAUGGCUAACACUGUCAACAGAUCUAAACACCAUGGAGACAGACCUCUCUGGGCAUGUCUAGACUGAGUCAACUGGUGAGGAUGCACCAUCAAUGUAUGCAGUUUUAUUCCCUGUACUAGGUUCAGACUGAAUAAAAAGAAAGUAGGCUGGAGAGAUGGCUCAACGGUUAAGAGCACUUGGCUGGUAUUCCACAGGAACGCAGGUUCAAUUCCCAGCACCCAUAUGGCAGCUCAGAUACUCUCACACACAGACAUAUAUACAGGCAAAAUAGCAAUGUAAAUCACAUUUAAUUGGAAGGAAGGAAGGAAGGAAGGAAGGAAGGAAGGAAGGAAGGAAGGAAGGAAGGAAGGAAGAAGGAAAUAAACCCUAGCACUCCUGCUCCCUUGGCUUCCUGACUGUGUACACAGGCUGACCAGCCUCAAGCCUCUGCCACUCUGCCUUCUCUGUCAUGAUGGGCUACAUAAUCUGUGAUGGGCUACAGCAUCUGUGAAUCACAACAAACCAUUCCUUUCAAUCUGCUUUUGUCAGAUAUAUUGUCAUUGUCACAGCAAUGAGGAAAAUUGGUACAAAUAGUUCCUAAGGAAAAGACUAUAUUAAACUGAAGGAAAGGCCAUCCAGAGACUGUCCCACCUAGGGAUCCAUCUCACAUGUAGACACCAAUACCAGACACUAUUGCUGAUGUCAAGAAAUGCUUGCUGCAGGAUAUAAUCUGUCUAAUAUAUCUGUCUCCUGAGAGGCUCUGCCAGAGCCUGACCAAUACAGAUGUUACAGCCAACCAUCAAACUGAGCAUGGGAACCCCAAUGGAGGAGUUAGGGGAAGGACUGAAGGAGCUGAAGGUGUCUGCAGCCCCAUAGUAAGAACAACAAUAUCAGCUGGGCAGUGUGGCACAUGCCUUUAAUCCUAGCCCUUGGGAGGCAGAGGCAGGUGGAUUUCUGAGUUCAAGGCCAGCCUGGUCUACAGAGUGAGUUCCAGGACAGCCAGGGCUACACAGAGAACCCCUUUCUUGAAAAAACAAAAAACAAAAAACAAAACAAAACAAAAAAAGGAAAAAGAACAAUAUCAACUAACUGGACCCUCAGAGCUCCCAGGGACUAAACCACCAACCAGAGAGUACACAUGGAGGGACUCAUGGCUCCAGCUGCAUAUGCAGCAAAGGAUGGCCUUAUCUGGCAUCAAUGGGAAGGAAGGCCCUUGGUCCUGUUGAGGCUCAAUGACCCAGUGUAGGGGGGAUGCUAGAGAGGUGAGGCAGGAGUAGGUGGGUGGGUGCACUCUCAUAGAAGCAUGGAGG